GACGAACGCUGGCGGCGUGCUUAACACAUGCAAGUCGAACGGAAAGGCCCUUCGGGGUACUCGAGUGGCGAACGGGUGAGUAACACGUGGGUGAUCUGCCCUGCACUUUGGGAUAAGCCUGGGAAACUGGGUCUAAUACCGAAUAGGACCACGCGCUUCAUGGUGUGUGGUGGAAAGCUUUUGCGGUGUGGGAUGGGCCCGCGGCCUAUCAGCUUGUUGGUGGGGUAAUGGCCCACCAAGGCGACGACGGGUAGCCGGCCUGAGAGGGUGACCGGCCACACUGGGACUGAGAUACGGCCCAGACUCCUACGGGAGGCAGCAGUGGGGAAUAUUGCACAAUGGGCGCAAGCCUGAUGCAGCGACGCCGCGUGAGGGAUGACGGCCUUCGGGUUGUAAACCUCUUUCACCAGGGACGAAGCGUAAGUGACGGUACCUGGAGAAGAAGCACCGGCCAACUACGUG
rnacentral:rRNA from 1 species